UAGAACGCUGAAGAGAGGAGCUUGCUCUUCUUGGAUGAGUUGCGAACGGGUGAGUAACGCGUAGGUAACCUGCCUUGUAGCGGGGGAUAACUAUUGGAAACGAUAGCUAAUACCGCAUAACAAUGGAUGACACAUGUCAUUUAUUUGAAAGGGGCAAUUGCUCCACUACAAGAUGGACCUGCGUUGUAUUAGCUAGUAGGUGAGGUAAUGGCUCACCUAGGCGACGAUACAUAGCCGACCUGAGAGGGUGAUCGGCCACACUGGGACUGAGACACGGCCCAGACUCCUACGGGAGGCAGCAGUAGGGAAUCUUCGGCAAUGGGGGCAACCCUGACCGAGCAACGCCGCGUGAGUGAAGAAGGUUUUCGGAUCGUAAAGCUCUGUUGUAAGUCAAGAACGGGUGUGAGAGUGGAAAGUUCACACUGUGACGGUAGCUUACCAGAAAGGGACGGCUAACUACGUGCCAGCAGCCGCGGUAAUACGUAGGUCCCGAGCGUUGUCCGGAUUUAUUGGGCGUAAAGCGAGCGCAGGCGGUUUGAUAAGUCUGAAGUUAAAGGCUGUGGCUCAACCAUAGUUCGCUUUGGAAACUGUCAAACUUGAGUGCAGAAGGGGAGAGUGGAAUUCCAUGUGUAGCGGUGAAAUGCGUAGAUAUAUGGAGGAACACCGGUGGCGAAAGCGGCUCUCUGGUCUGUAACUGACGCUGAGGCUCGAAAGCGUGGGGAGCGAACAGGAUUAGAUACCCUGGUAGUCCACGCCGUAAACGAUGAGUGCUAGGUGUUGGAUCCUUUCCGGGAUUCAGUGCCGCAGCUAACGCAUUAAGCACUCCGCCUGGGGAGUACGACCGCAAGGUUGAAACUCAAAGGAAUUGACGGGGGCCCGCACAAGCGGUGGAGCAUGUGGUUUAAUUCGAAGCAACGCGAAGAACCUUACCAGGUCUUGACAUCCCGAUGCUAUUUCUAGAGAUAGAAAGUUACUUCGGUACAUCGGUGACAGGUGGUGCAUGGUUGUCGUCAGCUCGUGUCGUGAGAUGUUGGGUUAAGUCCCGCAACGAGCGCAACCCCUAUUGUUAGUUGCCAUCAUUCAGUUGGGCACUCUAGCGAGACUGCCGGUAAUAAACCGGAGGAAGGUGGGGAUGACGUCAAAUCAUCAUGCCCCUUAUGACCUGGGCUACACACGUGCUACAAUGGUUGGUACAACGAGUUGCGAGUCGGUGACGGCGAGCUAAUCUCUUAAAGCCAAUCUCAGUUCGGAUUGUAGGCUGCAACUCGCCUACAUGAAGUCGGAAUCGCUAGUAAUCGCGGAUCAGCACGCCGCGGUGAAUACGUUCCCGGGCCUUGUACACACCGCCCGUCACACCAC
rnacentral:rRNA from 1 species